AUAUACUAAAAAAAAAAAAAAAUUGGAACGACACAGAGAAGAUUAGCAUGGCCCUGCGCAAGGAUGACAUGCAAAUUCCUGAAGCGUUCCAUGUUAAA
rnacentral:snRNA from 1 species